GAUGAACGCUAGCGGCAGGCCUAAUACAUGCAAGUCGAACGGUGUAGCAAUACACAGUGGCGCACGGGUGCGUAACACGUAUGCAACCUACCUAUCAUUGGGGGAUAGCCUUUGGAAACGGAGAUUAAUACCGCAUAAGACAGUAACAUGGCAUCAUGUAGCUGUUAAAGCUUUUGCGAUGAUAGAUGGGCAUGCGUCCAAUUAGUUAGUUGGUGAGGUAACGGCUCACCAAGACGAUGAUUGGUAGGGGAUCUGAGAGGAUAAUCCCCCACACUGGAGAUGGGAUACGGGCCGGAAUCGUACGGAAGGCAGCAGUAGGAAAUAUGGGGCAGUGGGGGAAAGCCUGACCAGCCAUGCCGCGUGCAGGAUGAAGGCGUUAUGCGUUGUAAACUGCUUUUUUAUAGGAAGAAGAAGACCUUGCGAGGUUUGGUGACGGUACUAUAAGAAUAAGCACCGGCUAACUCCGUGCCAGCAGCCGCCGUAAUAC
rnacentral:rRNA from 1 species